AUUGAACGCUGGCGGCAUGCCUAACACAUGCAAGUCGAACGAGACCUUCGGGUCUAGUGGCGCACAGGUGCGUAACACGUGGGAAUCUGCCCUCAGGUACGGAAUAACUCAGGGAAACUUGAGCUAAUACCGUAUGAUGACUUCGGUCCAAAGAUUUAUCGCCUGAGGAUGAGCCCGCGUCGGAUUAGCUUGUUGGUGAGGUAAAAGCUCACCAAGGCGACGAUCCGUAGCUGGUCUGAGAGGAUGAUCAGCCACACUGGGACUGAGACACGGCCCAGACUCCUCCGGGAGGCAGCAGUGGGGAAUAUUGGACAAUGGGCGCAAGCCUGAUCCAGCAAUGCCGCGUGAGUGAAGAAGGCCUUCGGGUUGUAAAGCUCUUUUACCCGGGAAGAUAAUGACUGUACCGGGAGAAUAAGCCCCGGCUAACUCCGUGCCAGCCGCCGCAGUAA
rnacentral:rRNA from 1 species